rnacentral:rRNA from 1 species
GCGCACCAGUCGCGAAAACUUCACACUGUGCGAAAGCACGAUGAGGGAAUCCCAAGUGCUUGCACGUAAGUGUAAGCUGUUUCUCUGUUUAAAACGCAGAGAGAGUAAGGGCUGGGUAAGACGGGUGCCAGCCGCCGCGGUAAUACCUGCAGCUCAAGUGGUGACCGUUAUUAUUGGGCCUAAAACGUCCGUAGCCGGUUUAAUAAAUGCCUGGGUAAAUCGUGUAGCUUAACUAUACGAAUUCCGGGUAGACUGUUAAACUCGAGACCGGGAGAAGUUAGAGGUACUCCUGGGGUAGAGGUGAAAUUCUGUAAUCCUAGGGGGACCACCAGUGGUGAAGGCGUCUAACUAGAACGGGUCUGACGGUGAGGGACGAAGCCCUGGGGCGCAAACGGGAUUAGAUACCCCUGUAGU